rnacentral:rRNA from 1 species
GAUGAACGCUGGCGGCGUGCCUAAUACAUGCAAGUCGAGCGAACAGAUAAGGAGCUUGCUCCUUUGAAGUUAGCGGCGGACGGGUGAGUAACACGUGGGUAACCUACCUAUAAGACUGGGAUAACUUCGGGAAACCGGAGCUAAUACCGGAUAAUAUUUAGAACCGCAUGGUUCUAAAGUGAAAGAUGGUUUUGCUAUCACUUAUAGAUGGACCCGCGCCGUAUUAGCUAGUUGGUAAGGUAACGGCUUACCAAGGCGACGAUACGUAGCCGACCUGAGAGGGUGAUCGGCCACACUGGAACUGAGACACGGUCCAGACUCCUACGGGAGGCAGCAGUAGGGAAUCUUCCGCAAUGGGCGAAAGCCUGACGGAGCAACGCCGCGUGAGUGAUGAAGGGUUUCGGCUCGUAAAACUCUGUUAUUAGGGAAGAACAAAUGUGUAAGUAACUGUGCACAUCUUGACGGUACCUAAUCAGAAAGCCACGGCUAACUACGUGCCAGCAGCCGCGGUAAU